AUAUUCUUCCUCUUCCAUUGGAAUAAUAUUGAGAUCAAUGUGAUUUAAAGCCAUUUUAAUAUCAUAAUACAUGGUGGGUUAGUCUAAAUUUAUAGAAAAUGAAUAAUAAAAAAAAGAAGUACAAUGAAAUAUUUAGAGGGAAAUUUGAAAAAAAAAUUAAUGAAGAGCCAUAAGAAUUUGGAGGGAAACUUUUAACAAAAA
rnacentral:lncRNA from 1 species